rnacentral:misc_RNA from 1 species
GAAAUGCGAUAAGUAGUGUGAAUUGCAGAAUUCAGUGAAUCAUCGAAUCUUUGAACGCACAUCGCGCCCUUUGGUAUUCCUUAGGGCAUGCCUGUUCGAGCGUCAUCUAAACCUUCAAGCCCUGCUUGGUGUUGGGUGCCUGUCCCGCCUCCGCGCGCGGACUCACCUCAAAUCCAUUGGCGGCCCCCGCGUCGGCCACGAGCGCAGCAGAAACGCGAACUCGUGAGCCCGUCCGGGCGGCUCCCAGAAGCUACACCCACCCAGUUUGACCUCGGAUCAGGUAGGGAUACCCGCUGAACUUAAGC